rnacentral:rRNA from 1 species
UACGUAGGUGACCAGCGUUGUCCGGAUUUACUGGGCGUAAAGAGCGCGCAGGCGGUCGUUCAAGUCGGGUGUGAAAGCCCCCGGCUCAACUGGGGAGGGUCAUUCGAUACUGAUCGACUCGAAGGCAGGAGAGGGAAGCGGAAUUCCCGGUGUAGUGGUGAAAUGCGUAGAUAUCGGAAGGAACACCAGUGGCGAAAGCGGCUUCCUGGUCCAGCACCGACGUUCAGGCACGAAAGCGUGGGGAGCAAACAGG